rnacentral:lncRNA from 1 species
UCUAAAACCAGACAAACUUAAAGGUUUUUUUCUUUUUUAUUUGAUGCUUCCAACUUUAUAGCUAAUAAUAUACAGAUAUUCAGUUUUUCCAUUGUUCCAUUCACAUCCUCACAGAGUUCAGCCAUUCUGUCACAUUGAAAUAAAAUAAAAUAAAAAAAAAAAAAACAAAACCAAAACUGAAAUAUAAUAAAUCAAAUAAAUCCAAAGGCUGGAAAAAUACAUUAUAAACUUAUAUUCAAGAAACAUUCUCUUUAUAAUUAAAAACCUACUUGUAAUAAUUAAAGUAGGAUUUAAAGAAAAAAACUUGAUUUGAAUUUUUAAAUAGGUGGCUUUUGUGUAUACUUUUAAUUUUAUAUGUACAAGCCCAACCAGUAUCUCUGCCUACCUGUGACAGAAUACCUGAAAAAAACCCCAAAAAAAAAAGACACUGAAAAGGAGUUUUUAAACAAACAAACAAACAAAAAAAGAUCAAUAUUCCUUUUCCAAAAUACAGUAUAAUCAGAACUGGAAACACAUGCUCCCCUCAUCUGGGUUAAGGCCUCAGAGACAGAGGUGCUUUAAUAAAAGCAGACAGUGUGAAGAAAAGUCCUUCCACUUUUCUCUUCAAAUUCCUGUAACAGCUCAUCUAUUUCAUUCUCCAUGUCUUCUGUGUGCUGGAUCUGCAAAACAAAACAUCUGAGCAAGCAAACUCCAGGGCUUGGAUGGUUCAAAAUCUGCAAAAAUCCAAUUUUGGGUUUGCUGGGGAUCUCACUGGGCAGCUGCACCCAAUGGGCUUUACUGAACUUUAGUGAGAAACCAGAAUUCCCAAAUUUCUGAUUUUAUUGAGAUUCCCAAAGGCACAGAAAUUCUAAUUCUAUUGAUCAUUCCCAAAGGCACAGAUACUCUGAUUUUAUUGAUCAUUCCAAAUGAUCAGACAUUCUGUUUUUAUAGAACAGAUAUUCUGAUUUUAUUGAUCAUUCCAAAUGAUCAGACAUUCUGUUUUUAUAGAAGAUAUUCUGGUUUUACAGAACAGAUAUCCUGAUUUUAUUGAGAUUCCCAAAGGCACUGAUAUUCUAUUUUUAUUGAUUAUUCCCAAAGGCACAGAUACUCUGAUUUCAUUGAUCAUUCCAAAUGAUCAGACAUUCUGUUUUUAUAGAAGAUAUUCUGGUUUUAUAGAACAGAUAUUCUGAUUUUACUGAGAUUCCCAAAGGCACAGAGAUCCUUGUUUUAUUGAGAUUCCCAAAGGCAC